ACGCUCGACACCUACGGGGGCAGCAGUGGGGAAUAUUGCACAAUGGGGGAAACCCUGAUGCAGCAACGCCGCGUGAGUGAAGAAGUAUUUCGGUAUGUAAAGCUCUAUCAGCAGGGAAGAUAAUGACGGUACCUGACUAAGAAGCUCCGGCUAAAUACGUGCCAACAGCCGCGGUAAUCUGAGCGGGCUGGCAAGGC
rnacentral:rRNA from 1 species